rnacentral:tRNA from 1 species
GGAGAGAUGGUCGAGUUGGUUUAAGGCACCGGUCUUGAAAACCGGCGUAGUCGUGAGGCUACCGUGAGUUCGAAUCUCACUCUCUCCG